GGCUUCGGUGGUCCUCCCAUUGGUUUCGUAGCUGUGCAUUGUCGAAAGAGAAGGACUUUGAAUUUUUCGAUGGAACCAGGACUCGCGAGCGUCGUCUCAGUAGUAACGGUUGGCCCACUCGUUUUCGAAUGCGCUUCCGCGCCGUCUGGAAUAUCCGCCAGUAGAGUAUGAGGAUGACGAAGAGCGGCAGAUGUGCGUAUACGAUUGUAAGUGGAAAACGAGGAGCUGCGCAGAUUUCUCUAUGUGCCAGCUGCUAAAACCCUCGUAAUUGGAAUUUACGCGUCGCGCGGCAGACUGCGGUCAUAAAUAUACUGGCUGCUAUGCUA